CCUUCGAUAGCUCAGUUGGUAGAGCGGUGGACUGUAGAAUUUGAAGUGUAUCUUCCUCAUUCACUGACAUUGGAAAGACUUUGCAGUUAUCCAUAGGUCGCUGGUUCAAAUCCGGCUCGAAGGA
rnacentral:tRNA from 2 species